rnacentral:rRNA from 1 species
GACGAACGCUGGCGGCGUGCCUAAUACAUGCAAGUUGAACGCUUGAUUUUCACCGAAGCUUGCUUCACCGAAAAUCAAGAGUAGCGAACGGGUGAGUAACGCGUGGGUAACCUACCUAUCAGCGGGGGAUAACUAUUGGAAACGAUAGCUAAUACCGCAUAACAAUGUUGGAUGCAUAUUCGACAUUUGAAGUACCAACUGGUACACUGAGAGAUGGACCCGCGUUGUAUUAGCUAGUUGGUAGUGUAAUGGACUACCAAGGCGAUGAUACAUAGCCGACCUGAGAGGGUGAUCGGCCACAUUUGGGACUGAGACACGGCCCAAAACUCCUACGGGGAGGCAGCAGUUAAGGGAAUCUUCGGCAAAUGGACGAAAAGUCUGACCGAGCAACGCCGCGUGAGUGAAG